rnacentral:rRNA from 1 species
UACGUAGGGAGCGAGCGUUGUCCGGAUUCAUUGGGCGUAAAGAGCUCGUAGGCGGUUUGUUGCGUCGGCUGUGAAAUCCCGAGGCUCAACCUCGGGUCUGCAGUCGAUACGAGCAAACUAGAGUGUUGCAGGGGAGACUGGAAUUCCUGGUGUAGCGGUGAAAUGCGCAGAUAUCAGGAGGAACACCGGUGGCGAAGGCGGGUCUCUGGGCAACAACUGACGCUGAGGAGCGAAAGCGUGGGGAGCGAACAGG